AUGCUCGCCAGAAAAAGAAUUCAUCCCUACAACAAUUAGCAACACAAGUUUAUUCCCGUUUCUAUGCAAAGAAAAAGAAACUCAUCCCAACAACAAUUAGCAACACACCUAUUUUCCCGCUUGCCCUCUCAACAAAACAACCAUGAGAAAAAUGCAAUGCAUGAAAUGAUCUUUUUCUGACGAGCAUUAGAAUUUCUGAAUGGUGGUAACGUACCGGCGGGGGCGAUGAAUUAUUCAUGAGAGGAGUUAUUUCAGAGAACAUUUAUGCGUUGGGAUUUUUUCUUUGCGAACGUUAGAAUUUGUUUCUGGUGCUGAUGUAUCGGCGGGGCGAGGAGUUAUUUCAGAGAGCAUGCAUGCGUUGUUUUUUUCUUUGCGAACGUUAGAAUUUGUUUCUGGUGCUGAUGUAUCGGCGGGACGAGGAGUUAUUUCAGAGAGGAAGCAAGGAGUUACUGCGUUGUUGUUUUUAAUUCGUAUGUAUUUCUUGUUGUUUGUUGAAAUCUUACGGUGUUUGAUUUGAUGAUGUUGUAUUUUGGUAAAUGCAUUCAGUGUGCUUUAGACUUUCGUCGCGUUAAGUGUGCUAAAAAAGUGAAUAGUGAUUUUUAAAAAGUGAAUAGUGAUUUUUAAAUAGUGAAAAAAAGUUCCUGUGAAUGCGUAAAAAUGGAAAAUAAUUGAUGAAGAACAGAAAAAAGCCUUCGUAUACAAAGAAAAAUUAUAAGGCAAAGGUCAGAUAUAUUUAACCUACCACAUAUCAAGUUUCAAAACCAUUUUCGCAUCAAUAAAGCAGCAUUUAAAUACUUGCUUGAUACUAUUGAGCCGAAAAUGAAGAAAAGUAUUCGGUAAACUUCUGUGUCCACCACAAUAAAGUUGGCUACAACUUUACGCUUUUUGGCACCGAGGAUGAGAAAGCCGAAGCAAAACUAGCUUUUUUUGAAAAAACAGGGUUUCCAGGCGUCAUUGGAUGCAUAGAUGGGACCCACAUUAAGAUAAUUACACCGAAGAAGGAGAAGCAAAGCAUUUAUUAUAACCGUAAAGGAUUUGUUAGUUUGAAUGCUAUGAUUGUAUUUGGAUGCUCGACAUGCUGGCUCAGCACAUGACUCCUUGAUUUGGAAUAUGAGCCACGCCAAACAAAUUUUGCGCGAACGUUAUGAUGGUGGUGACCGUAAUAGUUGGAUUUUAGGUGAUGCAGGCUAUCCGCUAGAGCCAUACCUGACGACGCCAUAUCGUUCUUCUCAAGAAGGGAGUGCUGAGGCUGUUUUUAACAAUAAACAUGCCAAAGCAAGAAAUAUUAUUGAAAGAACCAUUGGUGUUUUAAAAAAUCGCUUUCGGUGUUUACUCGGCGCUCGUCAACUUCAUUAUAAGCGUGAAAAGGCAACUAAAAUUGCAAAUGUUUGCUCGGCAUAACACAACAUUUCUAUUGCAUAUGGUGUAAAUGAUCUAAGCGAAGAUGUACCUGUACAACUCAGCAAUGAAAAUGUUGAGAAUGAAGACGAAAAUAUACAAAGUAUUGAAGCUUCACAAAUACGAGACCAAACAAAAUCCACUUUUGUUUAAGUUUGUUGAUUUUAAUAAAAAAAAAAUCAUUGUUUAUGUAUUAAAACUUAAAAAAAAGUU